GCGUCGAUUCACUUUUGAUGAGCUCGGAGAGCCACUAGCUAAGAAUGAAUCAGAUCGCGACCGGAUGUUGAAGCUAUCUUCUUAUGUGAGUGUUAGUUUGUUGUUUCCUUACUUUCUCCUCUUUAUUAUUUUUAGGUAGUGAUGAUUAUCUUGUCAUACAGGUCAUGACUGAGUACAACGACAGACUGUGAAAGGCUGAACGGUAUAAGGUGAAAUUGAAAGA
rnacentral:lncRNA from 1 species